rnacentral:lncRNA from 1 species
AUCAGAUUACAAUCCUUUAUCUGGCGAUGGAGGAGGAUUCAGCUACAGACCACCAAGAAGAGGUGCAGGAGGCGGAGGAUGAGGUUAAAUCCACACACAGUCACUGAACAACCAAUGGAGGCUUUAAUUGUAGUUUUGUAAAAUGUUGUAAUACUAAAGAAAUUCCUGUUAAUGAUGUGUGGCUCCAGAAAAUAUCCUUACCUUUCAGUACAAAGGGUGUCGUUCAUAACUCUAACCAGGGAAGGUGUUUUUUUUUUUUCUCCUUAAUUUCCUGAAAUGGAGAGGUCUUACUUAACCCUUUAACUCGUACAAGUGAUCAAGGUAGAAUUUCUCCUCACCAUAACAAUAUAAUAUCAAGUGGACAAGUGGGGAGAAUAAAGAUAUCAAUCAGGGAUAAUUGUAGUUGAUCCAACACAAAAUUCUCCAAACUCACAUCAAUAGAAUCAUUUGGCAGACAGUAAGGAGGGUUACUAACGAGACCUCGGAGAUAAAAGGGUUGGAAUUUUGGAGGUAGGGAUUUUUUCUUGACUGCAACAUUCCUCCUUUUUUUAGAAAAAUUAACUUGGAAGCUUGUUUGUUUCAGUGACAUGUUGUGUAGUUAAUGACUUUUAAAAUCUCCUUUUCUGAACACAGAUCAGAGUGUAUGACAUUUGCCUUCUAAACACAAUUGCUUGUGGAAGGUGAAUUGAUACUUUUUUCCAAAGGAGAAGUUCUGAAAAAUGCACCAUAAGGUGCGGAUUAAUAGCUGUGCAGCUUUUCAUGGGAGAUCAGAAAGAUUGGGCAGUUCAUAUUAUUUUGUAGUUUGCAUGCAUAUCAAAUAGUUGAAUUAAAGUUACAAAAUUAAUAGAGUUAUACAAGUAUUUGACAUAUUAUUUUACUAAGUAAUCAAUAUGUAGUAACUGUGUAUCAAGGUAUUUUAAUUAUUAAUUUAUUACAAUAUUAUAAGUAGCUUCUAUUGGCUGAGAAAGUUUCUCUCAAAGUUUGCCAAAGGUAUCAAGAAUAUUCAAGUUGGGGGUCAACAAAAUGACACCAAAAGGAGAAAGGGAGUUGUAUUUGGAUUGUCUGUUAAAUUCAUGAUUUAAGAACAGUGUGACUCAAUGUUGUUGAUAGAUCAGCUGAGUAUAGGAUCAUGUCGUGUGGCUGUUUUGCAUAAAAUUGCAAUCUAUGUGAAGAGGAUUUCAAUAGUGGCCUAAGAUGAAUAUAUGUGUGAACUUUACAGAUAGUAAAGGUUCAUUUGUAGAGCAUUUUCUUGACACGAGUCUUUUAACAAAGGCUCAUGUUGAUCAUUUAGUUUCCACUGUCGCUCAACAAGAUUAAAUUGUGCUGCAAUUAUGGGCAGAUGGUGGGAAACACUGUUGAAUACCGCUCCCUUAAUCCUGGUAUUUCCAUAUUGUGACUGAAGAAAGUGUCUUCUGGAAACUGUCUCAGCUUGGUGGUAAGAUGGGAGAGAGGGAGGGGUUGGGAAGUCACUAGGAUGGGUGUCACCCUGGGGGGGUGGGAGGUCACUAGGAUGGGUGUCACCCUCAUUUUUGUCCAAGUGGAAAUUUAAUUCAUAAAAUAUGCUAUAAAAAAAAAAAGAUUUUCUUGUACAAAUAAUACAUUGUAAGUGUACAUUCAGAGAACAAUUAAUAAAGGAGUUUUGGGAAAUCGCAUUCAUUUAAUUUGAAA